AUUGGGGUGGCAGAUUAGUGCAAUGAAUUUAAGCUUCAUUUAUAGAAGUAUGACUUCUCUUCAAUA